rnacentral:rRNA from 1 species
AAUAGAUACCCCGGUAGUCCACGCCCUAAACGAUGCGAACUGGAUGUUGGGUGCAACUAGGGCACUCAGUAUCGAAGCUAACGCGUUAAGUUCGCCGCCUGGGGAGUACGGUCGCAAGACUGAAACUCAAAGGAAUUGACGGGGGCCCGCACAAGCGGUGGAGUAUGUGGUUUAAUUCGAUGCAACGCGAAGAACCUUACCUGGCCUUGACAUGCACGGAACUUUCCAGAGAUGGAUUGGUGCCUUCGGGAACCGUGACACAGGUGCUGCAUGGCUGUCGUCAGCUCGUGUCGUGAGAUGUUGGGUUAAGUCCCGCAACGAGCGCAACCCUUGUCCUUAGUUGCCAGCACGUAAUGGUGGGAACUCUAAGGAGACCGCCGGUGACAAACCGGAGGAAGGUGGGGAUGGACGUCAAGUCAUCAUGGCCCUUACGGCCAGGGCUACACACGUACUACAAUGGGAAGGACAGAGGGCUGCAAUCCCGGCGAGGGGGGAGCCGAAUCCCGAGAAACCUUCUCUCAGUCCGGAUCGGAGUCUGCAACUCGUACG